GAGGCUAGAUAAGCAUUACCUGGAUUAAAUAAAAAAAAUGUAAAAUGUCAAAAAGGGUUUUAAAAAACACGCACUCAGUAACUUGGAACCAAAGACAUGAGACAGACCCCGGAUUUAAUUGGGAAGGAGGCAAAUCUGCAGGCAGACAUCUAAAGCCUUGGGUGAAUUUCUCUAUUGGAAAUUGUACUAAGAAAACAAAACAUUCUACAGGGCAAACAAAUGAGUCUCCCCUCAACAGGCAGCUGUAGGCAACAGCCAAUCACUGUGGUAUUGAAACAACAGAGGCAAAAUUAUUAUGCAAGUGGUGGGGGUUUUGUAGUUGUUUCUUUCCUCCUGGUCUUGGCUAAAGAAAUCGUGCUGGUUUUAAGAUUGGCAUUUGCUGGGUUGCUUAUGCUUUCAUCUCUGCACGAAGUGUUCUUCAGAAGCGCCCAUGGCAAAAUAAUUCAAGCUUGAUGAAAUCCAGAGCAGAGUCGCUGAGAAUCAAAGCCUCUAGCAUCACCAUUUGGGCCAAGUUAGCCAGGGGGCGCGGGGGCUGGCGUGGGCUCCAGUGUCCCAGAGGGCGCUGGCCGCAGUGAACCACAGAAGGUGCCUUGGAGAGAUCCCUGAUGUGGCACUGGUGAGAACUUUGCAGAUGGGGUGAGAAGAUUAAGGGAAAACGCCCUGGGGAGGCAGAGAGGAGGGCCUGAACAAAGAGGAGAUAAAACACCAAGGGAUACAUUUAGGGUUGGAGAGAUGGCUCGGUGGUUAAUAAGAGCAUUGACUGCUCUUCCAGAGGUCCUGAGUUCAAAUCCCCGCAACCACAUGGUGGUUCACAACCAUCUGUAAUGGGAUCUGAUGCCCUCUUCUGGUGUGUCUAAAGACAGCUACAGUGAACUCAUUAAAUAAAUAAAUAAAUCUUUAAAAAUUAAAAAAAAAAAAA